CAGCAGUGGGGAAUAUUGCACAAUGGGCGCAAGCCUGAUGCAGCCAUGCCGCGUGUAUGAAGAAGGCCUUCGGGUUGUAAAGUACUUUCAGCGGGGAGGAAGGGAGUAAGUUAAUACCCUCAUUGACGUUACCCGCAGAAGAAGCACCGGCUAACUCCGUGCCAGCAGCCGCGGUAAUACGGAGGGUGCAAGCGUUAAUCGGAAUUACUGGGCGUAAAGCGCACGCAGGCGGUUUGUUAAGUCAGAUGUGAAAUCCCCGGGCUCAACCUGGGAACUGCAUCUGAUACUGGCAAGCUUGAGUCUCGUAGAGGGGGGUAGAAUUCCAGGUGUAGCGGUGAAAUGCGUAGAGAUCUGGAGGAAUACCGGUGGCGAAGGCGGCCCCCUGGACGAAGACUGACGCUCAGGUGCGAAAGCGUGGGGAGCAAACAGGAUUAGAUACCCGGGUAG
rnacentral:rRNA from 1 species